rnacentral:rRNA from 1 species
GUACACGCUGUGACUAGCAUAUCAAUAAGCGGAGGAAAAGAAACUAACAAGGAUUCCCCUAGUAACGGCGAGUGAAGCGGGAAGAGCUCAAAUUUGAAAUCUUAAAGGGUUUCCCUUUACGAAUUGUAGUUUAAAGAAGUGUUUUCUGUUGAGGUUUUGGUAAAAGUUCUUUGGAAUAGGACAUCAUAGAGGGUGAGAAUCCCGUAUUUGACCUUUACUUUCAACUUUGUGAUACACUUUCAAAGAGUCGGAUUGUUUGGGAAUGCAGUCCAAAAUGGGUGGUAAAUUUCAUCUAAAGCUAAAUAUUGGCGAGAGACCGAUAGCGAACAAGUACCGUGAGGGAAAGAUGAAAAGAACUUCGAAAAGAGAGUUAAACAGUACGUGAAAUUGUCAAAAGGGAAGCGUUUGACACCAGUGUUGUUUUUCUGAAAAUCAAUUAAAGAACUGUUUAUGCUAAGUUGUUUAGACUUUAUCAGCUAACUGUUUAGUUUUGAGCUUUUCUUUAAUGCACUUUUCAGUUAACAAGUCAACAUCAAUUUCUUUUGCUGUAAAAAAGCUUGAGGAAGGUGGCUUGAGAUUCGUCUUAAGUGUUUAUAGCCUCUUGCCUAUGCAGUCGGAGAGAUUGAGGUCUGCAGCGUAGAUCCUUCGGGGCUAAAUGCAUUUGUGCUAAGUUAUAGCAUUUUAUAGACAACUUGUUGACUAUGAUUUGUCUUGUAGCUUACUCGCUUAUAUUAUUUUACCUACGCUUAGGAUGUUGACAGCAGUAUAGACUGU